rnacentral:rRNA from 1 species
GACGAACGCUGGCGGCGUGCUUAACACAUGCAAGUCGAACGGAAAGGCCCUGCUUGCAGGGUACUCGAGUGGCGAACGGGUGAGUAACACGUGGGUGAUCUGCCCUGCACUUCGGGAUAAGCCUGGGAAACUGGGUCUAAUACCGGAUAGGAGCCAUUUUUAGUGUGAUGGUUGGAGAGUUUUUUCGGUGUAGGAUGAGCUCGCGGCCUAUCAGCUUGUUGGUGGGGUAAUGGCCUACCAAGGCGGCGACGGGUAGCCGGCCUGAGAGGGUGGACGGCCACAUUGGGACUGAGAUACGGCCCAGACUCCGACGGGAGGCAGCAGUGGGGAAUAUUGCACAAUGGGCGCAAGCCUGAUGCAGCGACGCCGCGUGGAGGAUGACGGCCUUCGGGUUGUAAACGCCUUUCGCUAGGGACGAAGCUUUUUGUGACGGUACCUAGAUAAGAAGCACCGGCUAACUACGUG